GACGAACGCUGGCGGCGUGCUUAACACAUGCAAGUCGAACGGAAAGGCCCUGCUUUUGCGGGGUGCUCGAGUGGCGAACGGGCGAGUAACACGUGAGUAACCUGCCCUUGACUUUGGGAUAACUUCAGGAAACUGGGGCUAAUACCGGAUAGGAGCUCCUGCUGCAUGGUGGGGGUUGGAAAGUUUCGGCGGUUGGGGAUGGACUCGCGGCCUAUCAGCUUGUUGGUGGGGUAGUGGCUUACCAAGGCUUUGACGGGUAGCCGGCCUGAGAGGGUGACCGGCCACAUUGGGACUGAGGGACGGCCCAGACGCCUACGGGAGGCAGCAGUGGGGAAUAUUGCACAAUGGGCGGAAGCCUGAUGCAGCAACGUCGCGUGCGGGAUGACGGCCUUCGGGGUGUAAACCGCUUUCGCCGGUGACGAAGCGUGAGUGACGGUAAUGGGUAAAGAAGCACCGGCUAACUACGUG
rnacentral:rRNA from 1 species